rnacentral:rRNA from 1 species
AUGGUCCGGGGAAAGACGGUGAUCGAGAAGAUCGAAAACACCACAAGCCGGCAGGUGACCUUCUCCAAGAGGAAGGGUGGGCUGUUCAAGAAAGCCAGGGAGCUGGGCGUGCUCUGUGAUGCACAGGUAGGGGUGCUCCUCUUCUCCAACACAGGACGCCUCUACGACUACUCCAACUCCAACACCGGGAUGAAAUCACUACUUGAAAGAUACCAACAGGUUAAGGAGGGUCAACAAUUCAUGAGUGCAAGCGCAGAAGCUAAGUUUUGGCAAGCAGAGGGAGAACGUUUGAGGCAGCAACUACAUAACUUGCAGGAAAAUAAUAGGCAGUUGUUGGGACAACAUUUAUCUGGCUUAGGCUUGGAAGACUUAAGUGGUUUAGAGAAGCAACUAGAAACGAGCCUGCAUAACAUUCGACUAGCAAAGGACCAACUUAUGAUUGAUGAAAUUGAAGAGUUCAAUAAGAAGGGAAACCUCGUACACCAAGAAAAUGUUGAGCUGCACAAGAAACUAAAUAUCAUUCAUCAAGAGAAUAUAUAUUUGCAAACCAAGCUAAAUGGGCAGCCAGAAGCAAACGGGGUGAUUACAAGUUCUUCUAGUCAUUGCAGCAUUGCUGCUCGAGAUGGCGCAAAUCUAGUUCGUUUGGAACUCAGCCAACCACAUCAUGCAGAAAGGGGCGAGGAACCAGAAUCACCAACACUGGGUCUCUGA